rnacentral:rRNA from 1 species
GAUUAACGCUGGCGGCGUGCCUAACACAUGCAAGUCGAGCGGCAGCGAGUUUUACACUGAAUUCUGGAAGCUUCUAGUUGAAAGAGAAGAUUUAUUCAAGAAUUUUGUGUAAAAUGUCGGCGAGCGGCGGACGGCUGAGUAACGCGUGGGAACGUACCCCAAAGUGAGGGAUAACGCAUCGAAAGGUGUGCUAAUACCGCAUAUGGUCUUCGGAUUAAAGCCUUCGGGCGCUUUGGGAACGGCCUGCGUAAGAUUAGAUAGUUGGUGGGGUAAUGGCCUACCAAGUCGACGAUCUUUAACUGGUAUGAGAGGAUGAUCAGUCAGACUGGAACUGAGACACGGUCCAGACUCCUACGGGAGGCAGCAGUGAGGAAUCUUCCACAAUGGGCGAAAGCCUGAUGGAGCAACGCCGCGUGCAGGAUGAAGGCCUUCGGGUUGUAAACUGCUUUUAUAAGUGAGGAUUAUGACAGUAACUGAUGAAUAAGGAUCGGCUAACUACGUG